rnacentral:rRNA from 1 species
AAUAUUUCACAAUGGAGGAAACUCUGAUGCAGCGACGCCGCGUGAACGAUGAAGGAUUUCGGGACGUACCGCUCUGUCCUAGGGGGCGAGAAUGACGGUACCCUAGGAGGAAGCCCCGGCUAACUACGUGCCAGCAGCCGCGGUAAUACGUAGGGGGCGAGCGUGGUCCGGAAUUAUUGGGCGUAAAGGGUUCGCAGGCGGUCUUUUAAGUCAGAUGUGAAAGAUCACGGCUCAACCGUGGUAAGCAUUUGAAACUGGGGGACUUGAGUUAUGGAGAGGAAAGUGGAAUUCCUAGUGUAGCGGUGAAAUGCGUAGAUAUUAGGAGGAAUACCAGUGGCGAAGGCGACUUUCUGGACAUAUACUGACGCUGAGGAACGAAAGCGUGGGGAGCAAAC